rnacentral:tRNA from 1 species
GGAGUGAUGGCUCAGCAGUUAAGAGCACUGGCUGCUCAUGCAGAGAACCUGGGUUCAAUUCCCAGGAUCCA